GAGGGUAUCGCUCAAGUGGUAGAGUGCAUGCUUAGCAUGUGCAAGGUCCUGGGUUCAAUCCCCAGUGCCCCCU
rnacentral:tRNA from 1 species